rnacentral:rRNA from 1 species
AGGGUUUGAUCAUGGCUCAGGAUGAACGCUGGCGGCGUGCUUAACACAUGCAAGUCGAACGAGGAAUUUCAAAUGAGACUUCGGUGGAUUUUGGAAUUCCGAGUGGCGGACGGGUGAGUAACGCGUGGGCAACCUGCCCUGUACAGGGGGACAACAGCUGGAAACGGCUGCUAAUACCGCAUAAGCGCACGGUAUCGCAUGAUACAGUGUGAAAAACUCCGGUGGUACAGGAUGGGCCCGCGUUGGAUUAGGUAGUUGGUGGGGUAACGGCCUACCAAGCCGACGAUCCAUAGCCGACCUGAGAGGGUGACCGGCCACAUUGGGACUGAGACACGGCCCAA